AUACUUAACUGGCAGGGGAGAUACCAUGAUCAUGAAGGUGGUUUUACCUGGGUAAGGCUUAUCCAUUGCACUCUGGAUGUGCUGACCCUUGCAAUUUCUCCAAAUGUGGAAAUGACUGCAUAAUUUGUGAUAGUGGGGGACUGCAUUCAUGUUCUCCCCUA
rnacentral:snRNA from 1 species